rnacentral:lncRNA from 1 species
CUGCCCAUGGAUCCUGUCCCCAUGCUAUUCCACACUAUUCUCUAAAUAAAAGAACACUACUGCCAGACCUUGAGAGUCCAAGAAAUCUUUCUUUCGACUCCUCGGCUCACCAACCCCGCAUCGGUAUUGCCAAAAUUAAUUUGUAAAGAGCUCUAUUUAAUUGGCUUAAAGGCAAACAAGAGUUUAUAUAAAUCAAGUGUACUCUCAAAAAUAUAGAAACUAACCCAAAUGUUUUUCAAGUUCAUGUGAUCUAGAAUAAUCUUCAGUAAAUAAAAGCUAGUUUAAGUUUUUUGGUUUAAUUAAAACAGGCAUGUCUUGAGAGUUAUCAGCAUUAAAUAUAAAACUUUUAUUCUACCUAGGUUUAGCAAAAGUCAAAUAAGCUCAUGUUCUCUCUGUUACAGAAUUUGUCAGCAAGAAAGAUAACUUAAGAUGAUGAUUAGCUGUGUAAUAUCUUGUGAAGUUUUAAUGACUAAUCUAAGCAUAAUUUUUAAGAAGCAAACGAAUUAAAUAAAUGUAAUAAGAUAAAAGUUUAUAAGUGAACUUUUCAACAAUAAUUAUUCUUUAUAGUAUAUCUAUUUAAAAAUAGUUUCCAAAAUCUUUUUUGGUAACUUGAAACCUUAAAGUUAUACUGAAAUAUGUUAAAUAAUGGGUAUUAAUUGAACGUCUAGAUCAUUUCCAAAUGAAAUAAAAUACUGAAACAUUAAUUACUGAACAUAGGUUUAUCCACUUUUGGCUUCCUUUUACAAAGUAACUAAAGAUAUUGUGGUCUAUUAGCAAGGAAUGUGUCACAAUGUUUUGUGCCACAUUGAAAAAUUCAUUGUGAGGAAGAUAAACUUCCAGAAAUUAUGAAAUGUGUUUACAAAUUUGCCAACUCACAGAAUGCUUGUGUAAUAGUCCACAAUUGCUUACUUCUUAGUUAUCACUAGGAAUAAAGGAUUCUAAGGGCUAAGAAUUCUAAUAAAUACGUUUAAUUAAAACUAUUUAGAAAUAACAAGAGUGGAAGAAAACAAUGCAUAUGAAAAGUAGGUAAGGAAAGCAAAAUGACUGAUUGUUCCAGAACGAGAAAGAGGAAACAGCAUAGGAUAAAAUCUGAAUGGAUAUCAAAAGCUAUAGGUUUGUAGAAAAGGAAUCUUGGGAAAGAAAUUUUAUGUGUUCGGCAUGGAUUUAUUUAAGUUUUUUAACAAUGAAUUUUAAUAUCAAAAGUGCACUGGUGCAAAACUAGAAUUUGUCUACAGUCCCUUAAGUUUUACUCACCUCCAUGGCUGUCAACUUUCUAGUCCUGAGCCACAGACAAAAAUUGGAAUUGCCAGGAGGCAUCCAUGAUUUAAAAAGUUCACUUCCUUCAGCAGAUCUCUACUCCCCUGGCUAGGAGUAAGUGCAAAUGAGGCUAUGUUCAGGGAGCUCUCCUUAACUCUUGAAGAUAUUGCAAUCCAGUCUAAAUUAGAUGAUGCUUGAUUCAAAUCAAUUUUUGCUCAAAUAAACUAAAAAAUGUUAAUGUGCCUCAGUUUAUCUUUUAACAAAUAUCUUUGCCUUCCCUGACCACUCAAUUUAAAUUAAAGUAUAGCUUCCUGAACUCUGUAUUAUCUCAUUAGAUACAGCAUAGUAUCUUCGCAAUUUAGCUAUGAAAAAUUUGUCUAUAUUAGCCCACAGCUGAUUAACCAAAACAAAACAAACGACACAAAAACAAACUCUUAGAAGCAGACAACAGAUUAGUGAUUAUCAGAGGGGAAGGAUG